AGAUUCCAGUUUAGCGAAAUAUUAAAACAGAUUUUGAAGAGAUUUUGAAACUGCUUAAAAACGCUUAAAGGCUGUAGACCAAAUGCUGUUUUGCUGUCUGAAGAGAUCGCAGCAAAGGGACAGUAUUGUUAAAGAGGAGCGAUUACAUGGUAAAAAGUCAUAAAACCUUCCAGGAUUCAGAUUCUCAGGGGGUCCCAGCAAGAAGUCGCACUGUAUUUUUCCCCGUUGCUCCCUGCAGAGUUCAUGUGUUCGGCCUUCUUUCUAAUGAUGGCAAUAAGCAGCUGUUGGCUAUUAUCUGAUGAUGUUUAUAUUUUGGCUUCACCUGGGAGAAGUAAACAAUCUGUUAAGAAAGCAAAGGAUGGAACACGCUGCCUCAUGGAUCUGCCUGUUUGAGUUAUAGAAGGAUAACAGGACCAAGCUGUCCUUCAUUAUGUGAUGGAGAUUCAGUUACUCUUAAAGGAACUCUGAAUCCUGCUGCCUGAUGAAGUUCCAAUCUUCUAGUUGGAAAGGAGUAACAUAGAUGUUUAAGACACAUGCAGCUUAGAUGUAACACGUAAUAAAGUGUUGCCUUGCUAGGCAAACGUAUGAGAAUGAUGAAUUCAGUAGUACACGGGAAGAGGUCAGAUGCUGCAUUGGUAUCUUCCAUGAGCAAGGAAAUGCUGAACUUCAGCUCAGUAUAUCACUACUGAAGCUGUGCCCGGCCAUGAGAGAUGACAAGCAGUUGCUACCAGCCAAGCUUUAAAUCAGGAGAGAAGAACCUUUUCCAUUACAUUCCAAAGAAUUGUGGAAGAUGUGGAGAUCACCGCUUGGAAAGCUGUACUUAGUCUAAAGAAAUUCUAGGCCUUCUUCACGAAGGUGUGUUCCCCCCUUGGCAGCUUCAACUACACAGCACAGGUGAAGGGGAAGUAUAGAAAAGGACUUGUUGAGCACGAUAGAAAAACCUCAGGAUGUGCGUUUUCAUAAUGACAUUGCUACAAAAUAUGGAUUCCUAUGGAAACAGGCUUUGCUGGAUUUGUAUAAGAAGC